CAACAAGCUUGCUUGUUGGGGUUGUAGGACACUCUAUACGGAGUUACAAAGGACGACAUUAGACGAAUCAUCUGGAAAGAUGAAUCAAAGAAGGUAAUAAUCCUGUAGUCGAAAAUGUUGUCUCUCUUGAGUGGAUCCUGAGUACGACGGAGCACGUGAAAUUCCGUCGGAAUCUGGGAGGACCAUCUCCUAAGGCUAAAUACUCUCUAGUGACCGAUAGUGAACCAGUACCGUGAGGGAAAGGUGAAAAGCACCCCGGAAGGGGAGUGAAAUAGAACCUGAAACCGUGUGCUUACAAGUAGUCAGAGCCCGUUAAUGGGUGAUGGCGUGCCUUUUGUAGAAUGAACCGGCGAGUUACGAUUUGAUGCAAGGUUAAGCAGUAAAUGUGGAGCCGUAGCGAAAGCGAGUCUGAAUAGGGCGUUUAGUAUUUGGUCGUAGACCCGAAACCAGGUGAUCUACCCUUGGUCAGGUUGAAGUUCAGGUAACACUGAAUGGAGGACCGAACCGACUUACGUUGAAAAGUGAGCGGAUGAACUGAGGGUAGCGGAGAAAUUCCAAUCGAACCUGGAGAUAGCUGGUUCUCUCCGAAAUAGCUUUAGGGCUAGCCUCAAGUGAUGAUUAUUGGAGGUAGAGCACUGUUUGGACGAGGGGCCCCUCUCGGGUUACCGAAUUCAGACAAACUCCGAAUGCCAAUUAAUUUAACUUGGGAGUCAGAACAUGGGUGAUAAGGUCCGUGUUCGAAAGGGAAACAGCCCAGACCACCAGCUAAGGUCCCAAAAUAUAUGUUAAGUGGAAAAGGAUGUGGCGUUGCCCAGACAACUAGGAUGUUGGCUUAGAAGCAGCCAUCAUUUAAAGAGUGCGUAAUAGCUCACUAGUCGAGUGACACUGCGCCGAAAAUGUACCGGGGCUAAACAUAUUACCGAAGCUGUGGAUUGUCCUUUGGACAAUGGUAGGAGAGCGUUCUAAGGGCGUUGAAGCAUGAUCGUAAGGACAUGUGGAGCGCUUAGAAGUGAGAAUGCCGGUGUGAGUAGCGAAAGACGGGUGAGAAUCCCGUCCACCGAUUGACUAAGGUUUCCAGAGGAAGGCUCGUCCGCUCUGGGUUAGUCGGGUCCUAAGCUGAGGCCGACAGGCGUAGGCGAUGGAUAACAGGUUGAUAUUCCUGUACCACCUAUAAUCGUUUUAAUCGAUGGGGGGACGCAGUAGGAUAGGCGAAGCGUGCGAUUGGAUUGCACGUCUAAGCAGUAAG
rnacentral:rRNA from 1 species